rnacentral:rRNA from 1 species
UUUGCCUACGGGAGGCAGCAGUGGGGAAUAUUGCACAAUGGGGGAAACCCUGAUGCAGCAACGCCGCGUGAGUGAAGAAGUCAUUCGUGAUGUAAAGCUCCAUCAGCAGGGAAGAAAAAAAGUCCUUUGGACUUUGGACGGUACCUGACCAAGAAGCCCCGGCUAACUACGUGCCAGCAGCCGCGGUAAUACGUAGGGGGCAAGCGUUAUCCGGAUUUACUGGGUGUAAAGGGAGCGUAGACGGCAUAGCAAGUCUGAAGUGAAAGCCCGUGGCUCAACCGCGGAACUGCUUUGAAAACUGUUAA